UGGGUGCCCCCAUCAGCACACUGUCCUUUGGCCACCGGACAUCAUGCCUCCCAAGAAGGAUGUUCCCGUGAAGAAACCAGCAGGACCCUCUAUCCCCAAGCCUGCUGCCAAGCCAGCAGCAGGGGCCCCUCCAGCCAAGACCAAGGCUGAGCCAGUGCCAGCACCAGUGCCAGCUGUCCUUCCAACCCCUGGGAAAACCCAGGAGCCCCCCAUCGAUCUCUCCAAAGUGGUGAUCGAGUUUAACAAGGACCAGCUGGAGGAGUUCAAGGAGGCCUUCGAGCUGUUUGACCGAGUAGGGGAUGGAAAGAUCCAGUACAGCCAGUGUGGGGAUGUGAUGAGGGCCCUGGGCCAGAACCCUACCAACGCCGAGGUGCUCAAGGUCCUGGGGAACCCCAAGAGUGAUGAGCUGAAGUCCCGGCGUGUGGACUUUGAGACUUUCCUGCCCAUGCUCCAGGCAGUGGCCAAGAGCCGGGACCAAGGCACAUACCAGGACUACCUGGAGGGGCUUCGGGUGUUUGACAAAGAGGCGAAUGGCAAAGUCAUGGGAGCAGAGCUCAGACAUGUCCUCACCACCCUGGGAGAGAAGAUGACUGAAGAGGAGGUGGAGGCAGUUCUGGCAGGACAUGAGGACAGCAACGGCUGCAUCAACUAUGAAGGUGCAGCGGAGUCGGAUACUUCCCCCCUCCGGCCCCCCGCAGGCGAAAGCAAGUUCCUGCCACCAGGAGGCUAUUGUUUCAAAAUAAAGAGACGGUUCCUCCCUUGGUCUCCGACUCUUGCUUUCUUUAUAGGUGGGGGAGGGAAGGAAGGAAAGGGAGGGCUCUCUUCUCCCCCCACCCCUCCCCAAUCCGACAACCUCUGACUUUCUUGCUUCUCGGAGGAGCAGAUUCCUCGGGCCCCACUCCACCGUCUUCUGUAGCUUCUGUGCCCCAGAUAGGGCUGCUCAGGAGAAAUGAACAGCAGUGGGUCCCGCCCACCUCAUUACUAAUAUAGCAGCGUCAUCUGCAUAAACCCGGGCCAGGAUUCCUAUUGGCUGGGUCGGCUGGGGGUGACGUAAUUGGGACGUACUAAGACUAGGGUUGGGCCCGGAACCGGAGCCAUUACUGCAGGAAAAGGUCCCGCAGAGCUGAGCAGUCAAGAUGUGUGACUUCACCGAGGACCAGACCGCAGAUCUGAGCCCCAAGCACUGGCUUGGAAUCGUGAAGGCUGUAGACAGCAGUGACCUGUUACUUUGUGAAAAUGGAACAGGGGAGUUUGCUGAGGAUACUUCUUUGUAGCUGUACUCUCUGAAAGAGUUCAAGGAGGCCUUCCAGCUGUUUGACCGAACAGGGGAUGGCAAGAUCCUGUACAGCCAGUGUGGGGACGUGAUGAGGGCCCUG